rnacentral:lncRNA from 1 species
UCCCACAAAGGCAGUAGUAGCCGAUGAUCACCUUGCAUUACCCGCAGGGGGCAAAAAUACUCCACUAACCAACACCAUUCCCAUUUCCAAUGUUCAAACCGAUAUCUAUGGGCUUGAGAUCUGGGAGGGUACCCUCCCCAUCAUCGACCUGGGAGGCAUUCAUGGUCCUCGCCGCUCUGACACCAUCAAACAGCUUGACCAUGCAUGCCAACACUAUGGUGGCUUUAUGGUAGUUACCUAGCUAUGCUUACAUGUGUGUGUGUAUUGCAUGUGGAAACCAUCAAAAUUAUUAUAGAAAACGUCACUGAGAAAAUGUGUUUUAACUUAAUUCAAUGUCUUCGGUUCAAUCAAGG